rnacentral:rRNA from 1 species
GAUCGGGAUCGGGACAGAGGCCGCUGCCACGACCUCCACCGCGACCGAUAUGACUCUUCCUGCCGGGAGAGGGGUAGGGAGGGGAUCAGGGAGCGAGGCCCCGGCCGCGACCGCCACAGGGAGCGGGAGCAGGACCGAGACGGGGAGCGCGGGGACCGGAACAGGGAGAAAGAUCGGCUGGAGAGGAUGGCGGAGCGGGAGCGCGAGAAGGAGCUGGAGGCGAUCAAGGAGCAGUACCUGGGGUGUAAGAAGCCCAAGAAGCAGGUCAUCAAGCCGUCGGAGAAGUUCCGCUCGUUCGACUGGGAGAACACGGAGGACACAAGCCGCGACAUGAACACGCUCUACCAGUCGCCGCACGAGGCCCGGCCCCUCUUCGGCCGGGGAUUCGUUGCUGGUAUGGACCGCCGCGAGCACAAGAAGGCGGCAGCCCAGCUCGAGAAGAAGAUCCGUGCAGAGCUGCGGCACAGAACAGGUGCCGAGGAUCGCGUGGAGGACGAUGAUUUGGUGGACAAGAAGAAUGCUGCUGCAGCUGAUUCGUAUGACACCUUUGACAUGCGUGUUGACAGGCACUGGUCUGAGAAGUCGCUCGCGGAGAUGACCGAGCGGGAUUGGCGCAUUUUCCGCGAAGACUUCAGUAUCUCUUACAAGGGGUCUCGCGUGCCUCGGCCGAUGCGGAGCUGGAGCGAGAGCAAGCUUGGCUCUGAGCUGCUUCUUGCUGUUGAAAGGGCUGGAUACCGGAAACCAUCACCAAUCCAGAUGGCUGCCAUUCCACUUGGUUUAAGCCAGCGUGAUGUCAUUGGCAUUGCUGAGACAGGUUCCGGCAAGACUGCAGCUUUUGUGCUUCCCAUGAUGUCUUAUAUUGCACACCUGCCGCCCAUAAAGGAUGAAAAUGGCCCUUAUGCUGUUGUCCUGGCACCUACUCGCGAGCUUGCUCAACAGAUUGAGGAGGAGGCUGUCAAAUUUGCCAAUCAUCUAGGCAUUAGGGUCGUGUCAGUUGUUGGUGGUCAGCAGAUUGAGGGGCAGGCUUUAAAGCUCAAGCAGGGCUGUGAGAUUGUAAUUGCAACACCUGGUCGGCUUCUUGAUUGCUUGGAGAGCAGGUAUGCUGUGCUCAACCAGUGCAACUAUGUUGUGCUUGACGAGGCUGAUAGGAUGAUCGACAUGGGUUUUGAGCCACAGGUCGCUGCUGUCCUUGACGCGAUGCCUUCGAGUAACCUGAAACCUGAGAAUGAGGACGAGGUACUUGAUGAGAGGAGGAUUUACAGGACUACAUAA